rnacentral:ncRNA from 2 species
CAAAAUAUAGUGGAAACAGGUGCUUUGCUCUUCCAGGAGAGUUGAAGCUUAAUAGGGAAGCGCGGUGCAAAUCCGUUGCGGUCCCGCCACUGUAACCGGAUGCCCUGCAGGCUCCAGAAGCCCUGCGGAGCAGUAUCCUGAGGCUCACGCCACUGAGGGGUAGCCCCCCUUGGGAAGGCGCCCCGGAUUCACCGGAAGCCAGGAGACCUGCCUGUUUCCGGGCACCAUU